rnacentral:rRNA from 1 species
UACGGAGGGUGCAAGCGUUGUUCGGAAUUACUGGGCGUAAAGCGCGCGUAGGCGGCUCUUUAAGUCUCACUGUGAAAGACCGGGGCUCAACCCCGUGCGAGCAGGGGAUACUGGAGGGCUAGAGACCGGUAGAGGCCAGCGGAAUUUCGGGUGUGGCGGCGGAAUGCGUAGAGAUCCGAAAGAACACCGGAGGCGAAGGCGGCUGGCUGGGCCGGGUCUGACGCUGAGGUGCGAAAGCGUGGGGAGCGAACAGG